rnacentral:rRNA from 1 species
CAAUAGCGUAUGUUAAAGUUGUUGCGGUUAAAAAGCUCGUAGUUGGAGUUCUGCCAGGUGCCGCCUGUCCGCCCCAGUGGUGAGUACGUGGCGCGCAUUUGGCCCUUUCAAGGGGAGCGUAUCUGCACUUUAUUGUGUGGUGCGGGAUCCUUGACUUUUACUUUGAGGAAAUAGGAGUGUUCCAAGCAGGCUCUCGUCGUGCACAGCUCAGCAUGGAAUAAUAGCAUUGGACCUCGAUUCUAAGCUGUUGGUUGCCAGAAGCGAGGUAAUGAUGAAGAGGGAUAGUUGGGGGCAUUCGUAUUUAACUGUCAGAGGCGAAAUUCUUGGAUUUGUUAAAGACGGACUACUGCGAAAGCAUCUGCCAUGGAUGUUUUCAUUGA